rnacentral:miRNA from 1 species
CUGGCCUCUCCAUACUCCCAG